AGUGAACGCUUGCGGUAGGCCUAACACAUGCAAGUCGAACGGCAGCACAGGAGAGCUUGCUCUCUGGGUGGCGAGUGGCGGAAGGGUGAGGAAUACAUCGGAAUCUACUCUGUCGUGGGGGAUAACGUAGGGAAACUUACGCUAAUACCGCAUACGACCUACGGGGGAAAGCAGGGGACAUUCGGGCCUUGCGCGAUUGAAUGAGCCGAUGUCGGAGUAGCUAGUUGGCGGGGUAAAGGGCCACCAAGGGGACGUUCCGUAGCUGGUCUGAGAGGAUGAUCAGCCAAACUGGAACUAAGAGACGGUCCAGACUCCUACGGGAGGCAGCAGUGGGGAAUAUUGGACAAUGGGCGCAAGCGUGAUCCAGCCAUACCGCGUGGGUGAAGAAGGCCUUCGGGUUGUAAAGCCCUUUUGUUGGGAAAGAAAUCCAGCUGGCUAAUACCCGGUUGGGAUGACGGUACCCAAAGAAUAAGCACCGGCUAACUUCGUGCCAGCAGCCGCCGUAA
rnacentral:rRNA from 1 species